GGCCCAGAUCGUUUACCGUGAAAAAAUUAGAGUGUUCAAAGCAGGCAGAUCCAAUUUUCUGCCACCGAAUACAUUAGCAUGGGAUAAUGGAAUAGGACCCUGUCCUCCUAUUUUCAGUUGGUUUUGGCAGCGCGAGGACUAGGGUAAUGAUUAAUAGGGAUAGUUGGGGGCAUUAAUAUUUAAUUGUCAGAGGUGAAAUUCUUGGAUUUAUGAAAGAUUAACUUCUGCGAAAGCAUCUGCCAAGGAUGUUUUCAUUAAUCAAGAACGAAAGUUAGGGGAUCGAAGACGAUCAGAUACCGUCGUAGUCUUAACCAUAAACGAUGCCGACCAGCGAUUAGGAGACGUUGAAUACAAAACACCACCAUCGGUUGCGGUCGUCCUUGGCGUCUCGGUUUCGGCCGGGGCGCGGGGACGGUUUAGCCCGGUGGCACCGGUGAAUGACUCCCCUAGCAGCUUGUGAGAAA
rnacentral:rRNA from 1 species